UCAGCUGUGAGAAGUUGCAUAUACGGGUCCUCAUAGUGGAGUAGAUUUAGUUGGUUAAAGGAAACGCUGUAUCCACCAGGCACCACGAACUGCACAGCUGAGGUAGCUAUUGUAUUGGUUGUUGUAAGUAACUUACUGCUAACCUCUCGCUUGAGGUCAAAUCACCCGGAGACUGAUUAUCAAUGUAGAAGGCACCACCGUUCACACUGAUCAUGGCAACAAGACCACCCCUCUCCUGGGAAAUAGGAGGCAAGGGAUAAAGGGGCCUCCUUCAUCUGUCUUCAAUCUGAUGAAGGUCAUCAUGGGCAGUGCCAUCCUGGACCUGGCCUAUGCAAUGGCCAACACCGGUAUAGUGGGCUUUGGGGUGGCCUGGUAUGAAGAUGGCAGGAUGUUACUGAUUCUGAUGACUUAUGAGGUUCCUCUGGCUCUACUGACCCAAGAUUGGAGAGUGGCACAGUUUGGUCUCAUCUGGCACACUUGUCCUUAAAUCUAUAUGAUAGACAUGUGUAUCACCAUCUUUGUCCUUCCACCCUCCAGGAUUCCAGGCUACACCAGUAGCCUCCUCUUCAUGCUCAUCUUCUUAGUUGUGGUUGUGGUCAAGAAAUGGGUACAUCCCCUGCCCCCUACCAAGCAAUGUGACCAGGCCACAUGGACACAGAGCUGUUGCUAGGCUACGACGUGAACCUUCCGAGUGAUGUGAUGGAAAAGAGACCAUGGUCUCAGCAUUGACUCCAUGUCAAAAUAAAUGGUCAAUUACAAACUAAAAUGUCUGAGCGUCUGACAAUCCUGCUGGCUGUGCUGCUGACUGUGUUUGGGGUUGUGGGCUCUGUUUCUGCUGAUCUUCAGCCUGUUUGUGGGACUGCUCAGUCUGUGUCAUCGUGGUCACCUGGGCAGAGAACCCCUGAACAGGACGACAUGACCAGACAAGCCAUGUACCUGCUCCAUGGUGCCUAAAGGGAAAAUGCUGCCAGAUAAAUCAUAUUUGGCAGCAAACCAGGACGCUAUGACCACCAAACAGGCCAGUGGUAGGCCCACAAGAUCACUGCAUCCAGACUCUGAAAGCAUACGACUGCCCAGUUACUGAAUGUUGCGCUGAUGUAUUGAGUGAAUAUACUAUACCUUCCUCUAUACCGCACCUCCGGUAUCCAUAGAAGAAAAGUAAUUAAAAUGCUUAUCAACUAUUUCAUUAUAUGAUCAAUUUAUUGUACUGUAAAAUGUUAAAUAAAAGGGAAACAUUGUGA